rnacentral:rRNA from 1 species
CCUAACACAUGCAAGUCGAACGGUAACAGGAAACAGCUUGCUGUUUCGCUGACGAGUGGCGGACGGGUGAGUAAUGUCUGGGAAACUGCCUGAUGGAGGGGGAUAACUACUGGAAACGGUAGCUAAUACCGCAUAACGUCCCAAGACCAAAGAGGGGGACCCUCGGGCCUCUUGCCAUCGGAUGUGCCCAGAUGGGAUUAGCUUGUUGGUGGGGUAACGGCUCACCAAGGCGACGAUCCCUAGCUGGUCUGAGAGGAUGACCAGCCACACUGGAACUGAGACACGGUCCAGACUCCUACGGGAGGCAGCAGUGGGGAAUAUUGCACAAUGGGCGCAAGCCUGAUGCAGCCAUGCC